rnacentral:rRNA from 1 species
CCUACGGGAGGCAGCAGUGAGGAAUAUUGGUCAAUGGACGAGAGUCUGAACCAGCCAAGUAGCGUGAAGGAUGACUGCCCUAUGGGUUGUAAACUUCUUUUAUAUGGGAAUAAAAUGUUCCACGUGUGGGAUUUUGUAUGUACCAUAUGAAUAAGGAUCGGCUAACUCCGUGCCAGCAGCCGCGGUAAUACGGAGGAUCCGAGCGUUAUCCGGAUUUAUUGGGUUUAAAGGGAGCGUAGGUGGAUUGUUAAGUCAGUUGUGAAAGUUUGCGGCUCAACCGUAAAAUUGCAGUUGAAACUGGCAGUCUUGAGUACAGUAGAGGUAGGCGGAAUUCGUGGUGUAGCGGUGAAAUGCUUAGAUAUCACGCAGAACUCCGAUUGCGAAGGCAGUUCACUGGACUGCAACUGACACUGAGGCACGAAAGUGUGGGUAUCAAACAGGAUUAGAUACCCUAGUAGUC